AAAAAAAAAAAAUAUAGAGGCGAAUCAACAUACAGACAUAGCUUCAACUCUGCAGUUCAAAAAAGUUCCUGACUUCAUUAGAUAUUUGUGGAAAUGUGCAAGAAUCAUGGGAAGCUGAAAAAACUCCUAAGCAAAAUCUAAAUUCAGGCUAAAGAAAAAACAUCUCACAAACUGAAUGAAACAAGUGCUCAGUUUUACAGGCCCUUUCCUGACCGGUCAAAACCAAACCACUGAGGAAGCAUCAACAGCAAAUCCUAAUAAAAUGGAGUGUGCCCACAAACCCUGCCAGUAUGACACAGCAGUCUAUGAACAUGGCAUAUGAACAUUUUUAGAAAUCUUUUUUUUUUUUUUUUUCCUUUGGAAAGUACUAGACAAAAGGCAAAGGAAGUUCCUGGAAAGGAAGGCAGGUUUCAUGUAAGGACCUGGUGACCUCAGAGGGCAGAGAUCGGAGGAAAUUGAUCCAGCACUCUGAUCCCAGCUCAGCUGUCAGCUCCGCAGCUGGCACAAAGGCACCUGAAAUAAUCACACCAUUCCAACCUCUAAUCCAAUCAGUCAGGCUCUGCGCUCCAAAAGUGAGACGCUGAGGAUGAGCCGCAGCUCACGUAUCAGGAUAUCGGACAGAACAGAGAAGCUGGCAAAGAGCGACCAGGGAGAAGGGGGGGGGGGUGCUUUCCUUGGUCCUGAUAAAAAUGAAGCACUGGAAACUGAGUCAUGAGGUCAUUCUUAAGUACAAAAAAAAAAUGCAUUUAAGAGUAGAGAUUAUACAUAUACAUUCACAGGUGUGGGACAAAUUAAAGGAAAACCUGACAGCUUAAAGCAGUCUUUCUCAAAGUGUGCUCAGUGAUUUAUUAUUUUUUUUUUUAACAGUGCUGGAAAUCACAAACCAAACUUGGGAUAUUUGUGAUGUCGUUCUUACAGUUAUUAGCCUUUUGACUGGUCAUUUGAACCGAAUGGAUCUCAACGCCAAUAAAUAAGGACAACUUGGACCUGAGGUGUCGGGUAGAAAGUCGAGGAAAAUAAAUCUCUAUGGCUUGAAUAAACAGACAAAAUAUUGCUGUACAAACUUAAACAAUACCUUUUUGAAAUUAAUCUGCACUGAUGGGCGUCCAUAGAAUUUAUUUUACAGUGAAAAUGCUUCCUGGCUGCAAGACGUUUGAGAACCCUUGUCUUAAAGGCAAGGCUUACUGCAAAUCAAUAAAGUUCUUCUGAAGGUUCACCUUUAUACUAUAAUGAUGGGAGCGGCCUCUUCCAGGAUAACAAUGUUCUCAACCUUAGAACAUGUGCCGGGCUUCAGAGUCGCCAGAUCACAUGACUGAACAUUUAUGGGAGAUUUUAGACUGACAAGAUACUAAUGAUGCUCCACCACCACCACCAUCAUCAAGACUCCAACUGAGGGAAUAUUUGUUGGAAGAACUGUACACCGAGGUGCACAGAAGCCGUCCUGGUGGCUCGAGGAGGCCCAAAGCCUUACAAUGACACAUUCAGCUGUUUUUUUUUUUUUCCUUUAAUUUGUCACCUGUUAGAUGACUUCAAAAUUCCAUGGAUGUAUGAGGACGCAUCUGUCCAAGCCUGAUGAUGUCCAGUGUCUGUCCAAUAUGGCAGACCUGCUCAGUGUAGAUUAGUUCAGUGUAAAAGACACACACACACACCGUAGACAAGAGCUGUACAGUAAUCUCUCCUAAUGCACCAUCACUUACACAGUCAACCUUUAAUUUACCGGCCUGGAUUUCGCCUCCGAUUUCAAUUAUUUGAGUCCUUAACACUGUACUAUUAUACAACGUCAAUAACUACCGCUCGCCGCUUUGAAAUAUUUAACAUCUCGCAAAAAAAAAAAAAAAGUCUGAACUUCAGGACUGGCAACAUCUAUAAGUGAAAACAUUCCGCAGCUAUUUGCAAAGCGAGGGCUGAGAAGCAGGAAAGAAAAAGUUCAGCCCAACACUUCAAACCUGGGUCAGGCAGCGUUUGCCAAGGUCCGUUUCUGCAUAAGUGAGCACACAAACCCCCGGUGCCUGUUCAAAUACUCGUUCUCUCUUUCUCGCUAUCGCUCGCCAUUCUUUCUGUAGAAGCUCAUGACAACGGCCGCAGCAGCAAUGUUUGAUCUUCAGAGUUUUCCUUAAUCUGGGUUGUCAAGGUUCGCCCGCUGAAGCCUGUUUACUUCAGCGAAAAAAAGGGGGGUUUUUCCCUCCUUUCGCCUUCUCUCUUUUUCACUUUUUUUCCCCUUCUUUAAAACAAUGACUAAUCCAAAGCACUAGUCCAAGCUGCUAGAGAGAUCUUGUGUGUGUGCGCGCGUGUGUAUAUUUAUUUUUUUUUACUUUAAUAAAACAGUGGCACUAUAUUUAAGAUUUAAUUUACUGUUUGCUUAAAAAAAAAAAAAAAAAAAGAACAUUUAUUUAUUUACUCAUUUUUAUUCCGGGACUGAAGCAAAGGCCUGUUUACAGACACCUGAGUGGGACCAGGUCUGGUCUUGGAUAUAUUUUGAACGCUGCACUUUUCCACAGUGUACCAGCAAAAAAAAUAAAUAACACCACCACCAGCUGAAAUGAAAUAACUCAUCCCUGAACUGUUAUCAGACAUCCUGUGAAGUAAAGCCCCUUCAACGCUAACAUGUGUAAGAGGAAUAAGCACGGGCUCCGACCGAAACCUCAGCUGCUGUGCUAGUUUGAUUCAGUCCGGUGGAAGCCAGUCAACUUUCUCAGCACAGUCACGUCGAAGAGCAGACGACUGAGAGAGAGAGACUUUCGGGCUGCCAGGAGUAGUUUCGGGACUUGAACAAAUCUGCCGUGUGUGUACGGAGAGACGGCUUGCUGAGCGGUACAAGUACAGAUGAAAUCAAAGCUGAAAGCGGACGAGGAGAGAAGAAGAAGAAGAAGAAGAAAAGUGGUGCGCUUAUUUCUGACUCGUCUGAACACGUGGGGAGUAAAAAAAGCACCGAGUGCUGCUGGAAAUCAUACAGUGGUGCUUAGAGAGAGCGUAUUUUAUUUACAACUCCCCGCGAAGACGCUUUUUUUUAUAUCUAUAUAAACAACAACAACAACAAAAGUGCUGCACGCGCUGUAAACGAUAACGCGUUGCGACCUCGCUAGCUCCUGCGGCUAACUUCUGGGAGAAAAGAAAAAAACAACAAGAGAAAGAGAAAAAAGUCACGCUAGCCGCCUCGUCUCGAAAAAUAACGCGUUUCCAAUUCACAAUAACGCCAUUUUUAAUGUAACACCUGACCGUCAUCCGGCGUCGCUUAGAACGCCGUACAUGUUUGUUUGUUUGUUUGCUUGUUUGUUUGUUCGCCGCAACAGACAACAGCCAAGCACACACACAAAGCCAAACGUAAAAAGUAAAACAUUGCACAGAAAUGAAGUAGACAUUGUGAGGAACUUACCGUGAUUUGGACGGGUUGUUGUUGUUGUUUUUUUAAUGCUGAAAUUUGCUUCUCGGCGGUUUGAACUCUUCGCGUGAGCUUGUGUUUGGGCAGAGCGCGUGCGAUAAAUCGCACUGUAAACACUAACAAUAUUACUCUCGCGUGGGUCUGACCGGAAAGCGGCGUGUUGAAGCAGUACUUUCAGUUAGGAACGCGGGAUCCUUCCGACGGGUUUUUUUUUUUUUUUUUUUACACUUUUAACGUGCCGAGAGAGAGAAAGAGAGAGAGAGAAGGGGGAAACAUCGCGGAUUUAGAUGUUGUUGUUUUUUGAUGUUCCCAGUCCGUGACGUCAUAUCCACCUGCUUGAGUAAACACCGCUCAGCGCGCGACGCACAGCUCACAAUCAAGUCCAUGUCAUUCAGCGAAGCAGAACUUUGCGCGCGACAUUCGUAGGCUGCUUCUUAGUGUUUGUAGUAAAUAAAGAAGUACGACUUCUUCUCCUGUCUUUCUUUAAAGUAAAAUCGUCCAGGUGGAUCACUGUAAGAGGAGCGCGUCUAGCCAUCCUCUCCCGGUUUUCUCGACUUUCUGCAGAGAAACACGACAGGUUCGGAGGGUAAAAAGUUCAGAAGGACUAGCCCAUGUGCUAGAACAAAAAAAAAAAAAGUAUGAAAAUUCAAGCUCUUCCAUCUGCCUAAAUAGCUACCGGUUUUAUUUGUCAUGUUCCUCAAUGGAUAAAUUUGGUGAUUAUUUGGUGUGUUUACUGUUGCAUUAGUGUCUGUGUGUGUUUUCUGUUCAUUACAUUCAUGCACGGUCCAUUAUAUUAGUUUCAUUCUUACUCGAUGAACAAAGUGCUCAAACGUGCAGGAAAAAGAAAGAAAACCACCACAGAAAAGGAAUCCGUGCAUUUCUCUGAUUCCCUGGCUGGAAUGGAUGUCAGCUGAGCCUACACCUAGGAUAAAUCUAAUAAAUCAGUCAUUACAACAAUUGAAUAAAACAGUGAGGUAUGGUCGUAUGGGGGUUCUGUAAUUCACAAGUCGGUAGUUAGUGAUAGUCAGAUCAAUAUUUAAUCCCGAGUACACAGGAAAAGAUUUAGAAAAGGAGGCACACGCAUGUGGAUGAAUGUAUUUAGCACGGUGGUGAGCUACUAUACUACUGAGACAUGACUGAGUUUUAUGAGUACAGAGCGCCACCGUGUGGCUGAAUAGAACUAGUUCUGAUGUUAGGCGAUAGAUUAUGAUGUCCAUUCAUUCAUCCAUCCAGGAUUGGCACCCUGACCAGGGUGUAACCCCCGCCUUGUGCCCGAUGCUCCCUGGGAUAGGUUCCAGGUUCCCCGUGAGCCUGAAGCAUAAGCGGUAUAGAAGACAGGUGGAUCGAUCCAUCCGUUCAUUUUCUAUAUCGUUUAUCCUAAACGGGGAGACUGGAGCCUAUCCCGGGAGACUCGGGGGCACAAGGCGGGAACAUCCCGGACAGGGUGCCAACACAUCACAGGGCACAAUCGCGCACACCCAUUCACAUGCUACGGACAACUUAGAGAUGCCAAUCAGCCUGUCUUUGGUCUGGGGAGGAAACCAGAGUACCCGGAGGACACUCCUGAUUAUGAUGUCAUUGUGUAUAAUACAUACACAUAUAGAGAGUGAAUUCAAAUACAUAGGGGCAGAAUAUCCGUCUUGUGGAAAAUCCCACAACUGAAAUCCUGACCUGUCUACAUGGUGAAGGGAAAAUGCUUAUACCGCAUUCGAAAGAAGCAUGGCUUACCCUUUUGUCAAAAUGACCCAAGACAAUUGUUAAUGACAUGUUUUGAAAAUUAAGGACAGAUUUGGACACUUCCUUUCAUUGGUUCAGGCUCUAAAUUUAAUUUAAUGGUGUUUAAAGCAAUACUUACUAGUAGCUUACAUAUUCAUGGCACCAGUAGGCCUAAAUCAAAUUUCAAUAACAGACUGAAACAAUUCUUCUCGAAAUUCAUCAACAGAUUCUAAUACUGUAUGAACACAGUAACUGACUCGCAGAGCACAAUCUCACACACACUCACACACCCAUUCACACACUACAGACGAUUUAGAGUUGCCAGUCUGCUGACUGGCACGUCUUUGGACUGGGGGAGGAAACCCCUGAAGCACAGGGAGAACAUACAAACUAUACACGCACAAGAAAUUGAACCCCCAACCCUGGAGGUGAGACGCAAACAUGCUAACCUCUAAGCCACUGAAUAGCAGCAUAACACAGGAUGUAAAAAAAUAUAAUAAUAAUUAGACAAAGUAAAAAUCUCUGUAUACUCACUAGCAGGCCUAUGCAACUUUCUAUAUUUCCAAAUCUACUUUCAUUUCCUCCUUAUUGAGGCCUUUUAUAAAAAAAAAUAAUAAUAAUAAUAAUAAUAAAAACACCAUGUAAGGCACCUAAGAUCCAUCAACGCAUCAUUUAAUCAUAGUUGUGGGGUGUUUCAUGAAUACAUCCAAUAUAUCCUUACACUUCUCCUUUAUAUGCUUAUCGCAUUUUAAGAAUGUCCCAAUUAAUCUGAAGCAUAAAAAUCAAGAUAAAUCAUGUCAGAAUCUUUUCUACCUUUAUUGUGAAAUUGAACCUAUUAAUUAAAGUGAAAAACAACAAGAAUCAUUUUAGGCAGAAAAAAAAACGUUCAGAAUAAAAAAUGUACGGUAACCUGGUUGCAUAAGUGUACACGCCCCUAAACUAAUACUUAGUUGAAGCAGGUUUAGAUUUUAU
ensembl:lncRNA